rnacentral:rRNA from 1 species
UACGUAGGGCGCAAGCGUUGUCCGGAAUUAUUGGGCGUAAAGAGCUCGUAGGCGGCUUGUCGCGUCUGUUGUGAAAGCCCGGGGCUUAACCCCGGGUCUGCAGUGGAUACGGGCAGGCGUAGAGGCAGGUAGGGGAGAACGGGAAUUCCCUGUGUAGCGGUGAAAUGCGCAGAUAUCGGGAGGAACACCGGUGGCGAAGGCGGUUCUCUGGGCCUGUACUGACGCUGAGGAGCGAAAGCGUGGGGGAGCGAACAGG